rnacentral:rRNA from 4 species
ACUUAAAUUGAAGAGUUUGAUCAUGGCUCAGAUUGAACGCUGGCGGCAGGCCUAACACAUGCAAGUCGAGCGGUAGCACAGAGAGCUUGCUCUCGGGUGACGAGCGGCGGACGGGUGAGUAAUGUCUGGGAAACUGCCUGAUGGAGGGGGAUAACUACUGGAAACGGUAGCUAAUACCGCAUAAUGUCGCAAGACCAAAGUGGGGGACCUUCGGGCCUCAUGCCAUCAGAUGUGCCCAGAUGGGAUUAGCUAGUAGGUGGGGUAACGGCUCACCUAGGCGACGAUCCCUAGCUGGUCUGAGAGGAUGACCAGCCACACUGGAACUGAGACACGGUCCAGACUCCUACGGGAGGCAGCAGUGGGGAAUAUUGCACAAUGGGCGCAAGCCUGAUGCAGCCAUGCCGCGUGUGUGAAGAAGGCCUUCGGGUUGUAAAGCACUUUCAGCGGGGAGGAAGGCGAUAAGGUUAAUAACCUUGUCGAUUGACGUUACCCGCAGAAGAAGCACCGGCUAACUCCGUGCCAGCAGCCGCGGUAAUACGGAGGGUGCAAGCGUUAAUCGGAAUUACUGGGCGUAAAGCGCACGCAGGCGGUCUGUCAAGUCGGAUGUGAAAUCCCCGGGCUCAACCUGGGAACUGCAUUCGAAACUGGCAGGCUAGAGUCUUGUAGAGGGGGGUAGAAUUCCAGGUGUAGCGGUGAAAUGCGUAGAGAUCUGGAGGAAUACCGGUGGCGAAGGCGGCCCCCUGGACAAAGACUGACGCUCAGGUGCGAAAGCGUGGGGAGCAAACAGGAUUAGAUACCCUGGUAGUCCACGCCGUAAACGAUGUCGAUUUGGAGGUUGUGCCCUUGAGGCGUGGCUUCCGGAGCUAACGCGUUAAAUCGACCGCCUGGGGAGUACGGCCGCAAGGUUAAAACUCAAAUGAAUUGACGGGGGCCCGCACAAGCGGUGGAGCAUGUGGUUUAAUUCGAUGCAACGCGAAGAACCUUACCUGGUCUUGACAUCCACAGAACUUAGCAGAGAUGCUUUGGUGCCUUCGGGAACUGUGAGACAGGUGCUGCAUGGCUGUCGUCAGCUCGUGUUGUGAAAUGUUGGGUUAAGUCCCGCAACGAGCGCAACCCUUAUCCUUUGUUGCCAGCGGUUAGGCCGGGAACUCAAAGGAGACUGCCAGUGAUAAACUGGAGGAAGGUGGGGAUGACGUCAAGUCAUCAUGGCCCUUACGACCAGGGCUACACACGUGCUACAAUGGCAUAUACAAAGAGAAGCGACCUCGCGAGAGCAAGCGGACCUCAUAAAGUAUGUCGUAGUCCGGAUUGGAGUCUGCAACUCGACUCCAUGAAGUCGGAAUCGCUAGUAAUCGUAGAUCAGAAUGCUACGGUGAAUACGUUCCCGGGCCUUGUACACACCGCCCGUCACACCAUGGGAGUGGGUUGCAAAAGAAGUAGGUAGCUUAACCUUCGGGAGGGCGCUUACCACUUUGUGAUUCAUGACUGGGGUGAAGUCGUAACAAGGUAACCGUAGGGGAACCUGCGGUUGGAUCACCUCCUUACCUUAAAGAA